rnacentral:rRNA from 1 species
CGGAUUAAUUCGAUGCAACGCGAAGAACCUUACCUGGGUUUGACAUAUGCCGGAAAGCUCUAGAGAUAGAGCCCCUUUUAGUCGGUAUACAGGUGGUGCAUGGCUGUCGUCAGCUCGUGUCGUGAGAUGUUGGGUUAAGUCCCGCAACGAGCGCAACCCUCGUCCUAUGUUGCCAGCGGGUAAUGCCGGGGACUCAUAGGAGACUGCCGGGGUCAACUCGGAGGAAGG